CCUACGGGUGGCUGCAGUGAGGAAUAUUGGUCAAUGGACGAGAGUCUGAACCAGCCAAGUAGCGUGAAGGAUGACUGCCCUAUGGGUUGUAAAUUUCUUUUUUAAAGGAAUAAAGUGCGGCACGUGUGCCUUUUUGUACGUACUUUAUGAAUAAGGAUCGGCUAACUCCGUGCCAGCAGCCGCGGUAAUACGGAGGAUCCGAGCGUUAUCCGGAGUUAUUGGGUUUAAAGGGAGCGUAGAUGGGUUGUUAAGUCAGUUGUGAAAGUUUGCGGCUCAACCGUAAAAUUGCAAUUGAUACUGGCAGUCUUGAGUACAGUUGAGGUAGGCGGAAUUCGUGGUGUAGCGGUGAAAUGCUUAGAUAUCACGAAGAACUCCGAUUGCGAAGGCAGCUUACUAAACUGCAACUGACAUUGAUGCUCGAAAGUGUGGGUAUCAAACAGGAUUAGAUACCCCGGUAGUC
rnacentral:rRNA from 1 species